CUGGAAGGCCUGCUGCCCAGAUCUUGACUCUUGGCACUGUUACAGGGCACAGCUACUCUCUGGUGGCUCUUAAAGCUUCAAGAUGUUUGUCCCCGGGUGGGCAACCUGGGCUAGUUACCUCCUUUUGUCCAGAGGCUGAGAGCCUCAGUGCCUGAGUGGAGCCGGGACUGCUGACCCUUCCCCCUGGGGAUGCCCAUGAAGCUCCCGUCCCAAGGCCCUGGACCAGCAGUGGAUGAACUGGAGGCUGGGCGUGAGUGGUCGGUGGCUGGGCCUCACCUGAGAUGCCAGUUCCCCUUCCAGCAUGGAGUCCAGCCCCACAGCUGCACUGCCAGGCCCAGCUGGGCAUACUGGCAGAUGCAGGAGGGGCAGGAGUGGAGGCAGGGCCCUGGGCUUUUCUGUCCAGCUGGGGAUGUGCCCACGGCAGCCCUAGCCUGGGGCUGCUGCAGAGACCUGGCUCCUGGCUGCCUUCCUGUUUGGAGCAUCAACAGGCCUGGGCCAUUUCGGCUUCCAGAGAGGGCACAUUAGAGUGCAGUUGCCUAGUAUUUCCCCACGUUAGGGGAGGGGAUACGUGCCGCAGGGCUCAGCUCUGCACCCAGGCUGAGCCCUGGACCGCCUGCUCCCCUCCAACCUAGACUGCUCUGGAGGCCAUUCGAGAACCACCAGAGAGACAGUUUCUGUGCCCCACUGAGGGAGUCAUAGGAUUCUCCGUGCUCUGGAAUCCAGAGCAGGCCCAGUGGGUUCUGCUGCCUUGGGGGCAAGACUCACCAGUACCCACAGUGACAGAGCCCUGUCCCCAGUCCUCGGUGUGGUGAACCUCAGGGCCCCAGUAGCCUCUGAUGGGGCCAACUGGACUCUGGUGCUAUUGCAAGGAAGGACAGGGAAGAGGAGGCCUGGUGGGGGAGGUGAGGGGGCCGCGUGCCGCCCGCCCAGAGGGACCCUUCACCUGGCCAAGUGUGGUCUGCACCGAGGCUCUGACGCCAUCGGUGCCUACCCGUCCUGGACAGGGAAGCCCACUGCCCUCCCGCUGGGGCAGGCACGUCCAGCCAUGCCCAGAAGCCAGACCACUGCCUGGGCCUAAGCUCCGCAUGAGGUCAUUUAUCUGUGACAGUUUCAGGGGCAUUUAGGCCUCACAGGAGGUAGAUGAAGACCAGAACUGGGUGGGAGAGAGGACGGAGGAGGUAGGUGCUUGGUUCUGCUCACACAUGAGACGUGGGGUGGGAAGGAGGGAGGCAACCCAGCCAUGGGGUCCCCCUGGUCAGCUUUAGUGACCACUGCUUGGCGGCAGAUGUGGCAGCAGGACUGAGCCUCCCUCCUGAUUUGGAAUCUGGCCCCCUGUCCAGGCAGCCACCCAAAAGCCUAUUCUUAGGCUGUUUGGGGCUGAGCCUCGGGAAUCCCAGACCCUCCAAAUGAAGCCGCCCUCUUGCCCGCUCACCCCCACCUGGCCUCCCAGGACCCCCAACCCGCUGCCGGCUCCCCCAGCUCAUAAAUCUCCCCCAUCAGAAAUGCUGAGUUAUGAAGCGAAGGGAUGGAAAGUUCUCUUAACCUUGACGAUGUUUUUCGCACGUCAUUUGAGGUUUCCUGUGCCUCUAGCUGUGGCCCUCCGCUGGGCUGGCUCUUUCACAUUUAAUGGGCAUGGCCAACGGCUGGCCCUCUGGGGCGUGUGCAGCCAGGACCUGAGGCGUCUGCCGUCAGCUCGCCUGAUGGAUUCUGAGCAUGCGGGGGGAGCAAGGCCCCGUGUCCACCCUCGGCCUGUGUCCUGAGUGCCGUGGCUACACCACCCUCUCAGGGGCCAGCAGCAUCGCGUCUGCCUGAUGGCCAGGAUGAGUGGGAAGCAGGGGAAGCUCUGCUUCUCACCCUGACCCCUCCUUGAAGGACCCCAAGGUGAUUCAAAGCAAGUGCUAGGCCUGGUGGCUCCUUUCCUGAUGGUCGGUGCACACACACACACGGCACCCGCAUGCUUGUGCAAACGGGCACAGGCGCACACACGGAUUACGACUUAUGGCGACCACAGCAGAUGAAAC
rnacentral:lncRNA from 1 species